GGAAAGGCUGAAAAAAACCCAAAGAUUAGCACAAAGACUAAAACCUCUUAGUCCCUUAAGCAAUGUUUGUAUUCUUGGGAACAUGUGGGAAAACUGCGUAAGUGGUGUCCUUGGAGUUUGCUUUAAAACUCAGAAAAAAAUUGCCCUAUGGAAUUUCUGAAGAGAAAACAAUCUUUAUUUUUCCUUGGCAAGUAGAACUCCCACCUGUCAAGUCUGAUCUCUAGGCUAAAGAUUUGGAAUCUAUACAGGUAAUCCAAGAUGGACCAGAAAUUCAGGAUCUUCACGGUUAACGUGGUGGCAGUCAGAAAGAAAUGCAAUAGAACUAAUUUAAGUUCUAGAUCAUGAUAGCCUGUGAUAUGGUUAUGAUCUGCUAUUGUUCGUGAUUUCCUGUACCAUCAUAUGACACAAUGAAGAGAUGACCAUGUGCAAACCACAUAGAGUACCCUUACCAGACACUAGAGCUGGCAGAAAUUUGAUCUUGGACUUCCCAGUCUCCAGAACUGUGAGAAAUAAAUGUUUGUUGUUUAUGAAACUUAGUCUAUGGUAUUCUGUUAUAUAGCAGCUUGAGCUGACUAAUGUGAUAUUAUUAAGUCAAGAAAAACAAUUGGAUAAUUUAUCAAGAUUAUUUUAUGGCAGACAAUUUAUUUCAACAUUACUUAAAAGCAUUGAAACUUUUCUAUGCUGAGAAUUACAGUGCUGCUGGUGAAAGUGGUGCUAGAGCUUGUGUGUGUGUCUGUGUGUGUGUCUAAUCGCAUUCAGGGAGCAUUUGUUUAGUCUGUUUUAAUGCUAUCAGAGCUAACAUUUGUGUAUGUUUGUUUUCUUUAUCUCAGCUCUGGCAAAUCCAUGAAAAACAGAUGAAAGCCAAAUCUUUCAUUAUUUCUAAAUCCCUGAUUAUGACAUAUUUCUCCUACAACGUGUCCCAAAAGAAUGAGAAAAGCAUCUGUAACUACGCACAGGUUAUGUUGUAGUCCCCUCAGUAGCAUUUUGUCCAUAUGGAGCUUAAUUCUGUAAACUACCUAUAACUAGGUAUAAAAUUCAGACAGAAAAUAGCAAUUUAUCACAAGUGUCCAGCUGGCUUCUUCUUCUAAGUGGUUAUUUCCUAAUCUGCAAUCCAGCCAUUCACUGCCCACUCACAUUUUUGAGCUAUAAAAUCAAUAAUAAAUAGCAAGAACAUUCCCUUGAGAGCUUAGCCAUGCAUUCCAACUGGG
rnacentral:lncRNA from 1 species